AUGAUUCUGCCCAUGGGAAGGAUGAGAAGCUUCGACUAAGGUUCGACUCGAGCGAAGCGAGAGAAACGUUGCCGCAGGCAAGGCCCGAAGGGCGAGGAGCGAUAGCGACGAGUUAUCCUUCCCCCACCACCA
rnacentral:sRNA from 1 species